rnacentral:rRNA from 1 species
UACGUAGGUGGCAAGCGUUGUCCGGAUUUAUUGGGCGUAAAGCGCGCGCAGGCGGUCCUUUAAGUCUGAUGUGAAAUCUUGCGGCUCAACCGCAAGCGGUCAUUGGAAACUGGGGGACUUGAGUACAGAAGAGGAAAGCGGAAUUCCACGUGUAGCGGUGAAAUGCGUAGAGAUGUGGAGGAACACCAGUGGCGAAGGCGGCAUCCUGGAUCGGCAUUGACGCUGAGGCGCGAAAGCCAGGGGAGCAAACGGG